UACACCUGUGAAGAUGGGCUACCAGUUCAAAUGUUUCUCUUCAGCUUCUCAACAUUACUCUGGUAACAGACACCAAUACAGCACCAGAGAUGGAUAUCAAGCUCCAGUGUUACCUGAAUAUAUUCUCAGGCCUUGUCCCACAAUGCAACCAUAGUGAAAUAAAGCUGAAUUGGCUGAAUGAGGCCAAUACAGUGCUACAGGGAGAGAGAUUUCAGACCCAACGUUCAUCUGAUUGCUUCUCUACGCUGACCAUCCGAGGUGUCAGGAAGACAGACCAUCACAGGAAGUGGCGGUGUCAACUGAUUGAAGGAGAGGUUGUGAGGACGUCCCUCAGCUAUACCACAGAAAUUACAGGAGGUAUAAGAGAAGUGUUUGUCGCAGUGGGUGAGUCAG